rnacentral:rRNA from 1 species
ACGAACGCUGGCGGCGUGCCUAAUACAUGCAAGUCGAGCGGAUGAUGAAGAAGCUUGCUUCUUCUGGAUUUUAGCGGCGGACGGGUGAGUAACACGUGGGCAACCUACCUUGUAGAUUGGGAUAACUCCGGGAAACCCGGGGCUAAUACCGAAUAAUCCAUUUUGCUUCAUGGCGAGAUGUUGAAAGACGGUUUCGGCUGUCACUACAAGAUGGGCCCGCGGCGCAUUAGCUAGUUGGUAGGGUAAUGGCCUACCAAGGCGACGAUGCGUAGCCGACCUGAGAGGGUGAUCGGCCACACUGGGACUGAGACACGGCCCAGACUCCUACGGGAGGCAGCAGUAGGGAAUCUUCCACAAUGGACGAAAGUCUGAUGGAGCAACGCCGCGUGAGUGAAGAAGGUUUUCGGAUCGUAAAACUCUGUUGUAAGGGAAGAACACGUACGAGAGUAACUGCUCGUACCUUGACGGUACCUUAUUAGAAAGCCACGGCUAACUACGUG